rnacentral:rRNA from 1 species
GGUUAAGCGACUAAGCGUACACGGUGGAUGCCCUGGCAGUCAGAGGCGAUGAAGGACGUGCUAAUCUGCGAAAAGCGUCGGUAAGGUGAUAUGAACCGUUACAGCCGGCGAUGUCCGAAUGGGGAAACCCAGUGCAAUUCGUUGCACUAUCGUUAACUGAAUACAUAGGUUAACGAGGCGAACCGGGGGAACUGAAACAUCUAAGUACCCCGAGGAAAAGAAAUCAACCGAGAUUCCCCCAGUAGCGGCGAGCGAACGGGGAGUAGCCCAGAGUCUGAAUCAGCUUGUGUGUUAGUGGAACGGUCUGGAAAGUCCGACGGUACAGGGUGAUAGUCCCGUACACCAAAAUGCACAGGUUGUGAACUCGAAGAGUAGGGCGGGACACGUGGUAUCCUGUCUGAAUAUGGGGGGACCAUCCUCCAAGGCUAAAUACUCCUGACUGACCGAUAGUGAACCAGUACCGUGAGGGAAAGGCGAAAAGAACCCCGGCGAGGGGAGUGAAAAAGAACCUGAAACCGUGUACGUACAAGCAGUGGGAGCACCUUUAUGGUGUGACUGCGUACCUUUUGUAUAAUGGGUCAGCGACUUAUAUUCUGUAGCAAGGUUAACCGUAUAGGGGAGCCGCAGGGAAACCGAGUCUUAACUGGGCGUUAAGUUGCAGGGUAUAGACCCGAAACCCGGUGAUCUAGCCAUGGGCAGGUUGAAGGUUGGGUAACACUAACUGGAGGACCGAACCGACUAAUGUUGAAAAAUUAGCGGAUGACUUGUGGCUGGGGGUGAAAGGCCAAUCAAACCGGGAGAUAGCUGGUUCUCCCCGAAAGCUAUUUAGGUAGCGCCUCGUGAACUCAUCUUCGGGGGUAGAGCACUGUUUCGGCUAGGGGGUCAUCCCGACUUACCAACCCGAUGCAAACUACGAAUACCGAAGAAUGUUAUCACGGGAGACACACGGCGGGUGCUAACGUCCGUCGUGAAGAGGGAAACAACCCAGACCGCCAGCUAAGGUCCCAAAGUCAUGGUUAAGUGGGAAACGAUGUGGGAAGGCACAGACAGCCAGGAUGUUGGCUUAGAAGCAGCCAUCAUUUAAAGAAAGCGUAAUAGCUCACUGGUCGAGUCGGCCUGCGCGGAAGAUGUAACGGGGCUAAACCAUGCACCGAAGCUGCGGCAGCGACACGAUGUGUUGUUGGGUAGGGGAGCGUUCUGUAAGCCUGCGAAGGUGGCCUGUGAGGGCUGCUGGAGGUAUCAGAAGUGCGAAUGCUGACAUAAGUAACGAUAAAGCGGGUGAAAAGCCCGCUCGCCGGAAGACCAAGGGUUCCUGUCCAACGUUAAUCGGGGCAGGGUGAGUCGACCCCUAAGGCGAGGCCGAAAGGCGUAGUCGAUGGGAAACAGGUUAAUAUUCCUGUACUUGGUGUUACUGCGAAGGGGGGACGGAGAAGGCUAUGUUAGCCGGGCGACGGUUGUCCCGGUUUAAGCAUGUAGGCUGGUUAUCCAGGCAAAUCCGGAUAAUCAAGGCUGAGGUGUGAUGACGAGGCACUACGGUGCUGAAGUAACAAAUGCCCUGCUUCCAGGAAAAGCCUCUAAGCAUCAGGUAACAUCAAAUCGUACCCCAAACCGACACAGGUGGUCAGGUAGAGAAUACCAAGGCGCUUGAGAGAACUCGGGUGAAGGAACUAGGCAAAAUGGUGCCGUAACUUCGGGAGAAGGCACGCUGGUGUGUAGGUGAAGUCCCUGCGGAUGGAGCUGAGACCAGUCGAAGAUACCAGCUGGCUGCAACUGUUUAUUAAAAACACAGCACUGUGCAAACACGAAAGUGGACGUAUACGGUGUGACGCCUGCCCGGUGCCGGAAGGUUAAUUGAUGGGGUUAUCCGUAAGGAGAAGCUCUUGAUCGAAGCCCCGGUAAACGGCGGCCGUAACUAUAACGGUCCUAAGGUAGCGAAAUUCCUUGUCGGGUAAGUUCCGACCUGCACGAAUGGCGUAAUGAUGGCCAGGCUGUCUCCACCCGAGACUCAGUGAAAUUGAACUCGCUGUGAAGAUGCAGUGUACCCGCGGCAAGACGGAAAGACCCCGUGAACCUUUACUAUAGCUUGACACUGAACAUUGAGCCUUGAUGUGUAGGAUAGGUGGGAGGCUUUGAAGCGUGGACGCCAGUCUGCGUGGAGCCAACCUUGAAAUACCACCCUUUAAUGUUUGAUGUUCUAACGUGGGCCCCUAAUCGGGGUUGCGGACAGUGUCUGGUGGGUAGUUUGACUGGGGCGGUCUCCUCCCAAAGCGUAACGGAGGAGCACGAAGGUUAGCUAAUCCUGGUCGGACAUCAGGAGGUUAGUGCAAUGGCAUAAGCUAGCUUGACUGCGAGCGUGACGGCGCGAGCAGGUGCGAAAGCAGGUCAUAGUGAUCCGGUGGUUCUGAAUGGAAGGGCCAUCGCUCAACGGAUAAAAGGUACUCCGGGGAUAACAGGCUGAUACCGCCCAAGAGUUCAUAUCGACGGCGGUGUUUGGCACCUCGAUGUCGGCUCAUCACAUCCUGGGGCUGAAGUAGGUCCCAAGGGUAUGGCUGUUCGCCAUUUAAAGUGGUACGCGAGCUGGGUUUAGAACGUCGUGAGACAGUUCGGUCCCUAUCUGCCGUGGGCGCUGGAGAAUUGAGGGGGGCUGCUCCUAGUACGAGAGGACCGGAGUGGACGCAUCACUGGUGUUCGGGUUGUCAUGCCAAUGGCACUGCCCGGUAGCUAAAUGCGGAAGAGAUAAGUGCUGAAAGCAUCUAAGCACGAAACUUGCCCCGAGAUGAGUUCUCCCUGAGACUUUAAGUCUCCUGAAGGAACGUUGAAGACGACGACGUUGAUAGGCCGGGUGUGUAAGCGCAGCGAUGCGUUGAGCUAACCGGUACUAAUGAACCGUGAGGCUUAACCUU